rnacentral:rRNA from 1 species
UACAGAGGUCUCAAGCGUUGUUCGGAUUCAUUGGGCGUAAAGCGCGCGUAGGCGGCCCGUUCAGUCCGCUGUAAAAGUCAAAGGCUCAACCUUUGAAUGUCAGUGGAUACUGCCGGGCUAGAGUCCGGAAGAGGCGAGUGGAACUCCUGGUGUAGCGGUGGAAUGCGCAGAUAUCAGGAAGAACACCGACGGCGAAGGCAGCUCGCUGGGACGGUACUGACGCUGAGACGCGAAAGCGUGGGGAGCAAACAGG